UCACUCAGCAUCUGUUCCCAUCAAAUAUUUGUGGGUUGGUAUUAUUUUUGCUUAAUUCUGUGGGAACUACUUCCCUUCAUUUACUCUCUCUGAGAUCUUGGUUACUUGCCUAGUCCUGGGAUUUAUUUAGCUUGUUCUACCUCAGAUCAUCAGGGUUUUUCUUUUACUGUCCCAUGCACACUCUGGCCUUCUGAGAAAUUCCAUAUGCAACUGGCUGGGGUUGGUAGUAGCCUUUGGCAAAGGAUUCCAAUGGGAGGGAAGUAUUUCUGAGACAGUCUGUCUGCUGUCAAAAAUUUUUAAACAGGUCCCUUGGUAAAUUGGGUAUAGGCAGGGAAGUGAUCUGUAUGGGGGAGAAAAAAUUUAAGAUAUCAUGGUGAACAUUUCCAAGGAAGCCCCAUUUGGCCUGGGCCCUGGCUUUAAUGGCAGAUGAUCCUCCCUUUGAAUCCUGGGACCAUAUCAGUGAUGGCAACAGGAAAAUCUGUGGAAUUAUCUUCAAUGACUGGCUCUUUCCACAGGCUGGGGCUUGGCAUGGUGCCCAAGGGCUUGUGCUUUCUUGAACUCCUAGCCCCAUGAUCGUUAUGCUCACAGGUUUAUGUAUUGUCCCUGACUGAGUCCUUGAGGCCACCUCUCCCCCACCCACCUCCUCACCUCCCUGCGCAGCAGCAGCUGUGAGGUGACAUGUCCAACCAUCCCAGAGGUGCUUGUGUAACUUGUUUUCAAAAUCUUGGCAGGAGCUCUGGUCCUGAAAGGGUGUUCACACUGCGGAAGAGCAGUCUGAGAAAGGUCCUGCAUCAGGGCUGUUCCCAAACAACUCCUGCUCCCCAGUCACCCCCUUCUCUCUGGGAUGGCUGUGACAGCCAUAGAGAUGGGCUCCGACCAAGAAGAAAGGAGCCUUGCCCCAAAGAAGGCAGGCUGUGAGGAAGCAUUCAUCAAGCCUCACGGCUCUACCUUUGCCUAGUGUGAACUGCCCUCCUUGGAAAGGUGAGGAGGCCUCCUGAGAACACAGCCUGUUUCUCCAGGUAGUGCCUCCCACAGAGCACAGUGCUGGCACUCAAUAGCCAUUCACUAAGUCAGUAAGUGGUGGAAACGUGUGGGCAAGAACACCUUAGACAGGGCACACUGGUGGAGGUUCUUAACUGACACCCCAGUUAACAGCUUUCUCUGAACAGUACUUACAUUAAUAACCACAAUGGUUACUAUUUAUUAAAUACCUAGUCUAUGCCAAGCAAAGGCAUUUAUUAUUUCCUUAAAUUCCACAAUAGUCAGUAGUUCUACAAAACAGGUAGUUCCUUCUCCAAUUAAUAGCCAGGGGGCAUAGGGACUGGGGUCACCCAGACACUAAACCUGGAUUCAAAGGCCCUCACUUGCCCUGUGCCCCUGCGUUUCCGUCUUCCAUUUCUCCGCACUGCCCCUCUCCCCUGCUGGUCUCCGCACCCUGAAACAGCACUGGCAGGAGUGACUUCAAAGGAGGCCAGAGGGAGCACUUCUACAGCCCUGUUGCAGCAAGCUGUGCAUUCUUUCUGUCAUUUCCUCCCUCAGCAAACAGGCUUGGGUUCGGCAUGGAACGAACGCUGGGGAAGCAGCCCCUUUCCAGACGUCUGCUUUGCCAAACUUAAGAACAGCCACCCCCCGUUCUGGGCCUUCUCCUAGGCUCGAGCCGCCCUGGAGGACACCCGCCCUUCCUGCUCUGCCUUACGCGUGUUGGCACACGCAGCUUCUCUUCCUCCUCUUCUGACCGGCUUCACGGCUGGGUUUUCAUUUGACUAGAAAAAUCUUGUUACGGGUAUUAUUCUACGGACAGUCCCUGGCACCAAAUACACGCUCAAUAAAUAUUUAUUGAACCGCGUGCUGAAUUCUAGACAAAAGAACCGAAGACUGGAAUCCAGAAGUGAAAAGCUCAGAGGGUGGGGGAGGGGGCAGCAAGCCUCGCCCCUCCCCUUUCCCUCCUCCUCCCCACUAAGCAGGGAAGUGACACCGUAUUUAGUGCUAAUGCCGUCGUUUGAUUACAGUAACACCCGAACAAAUCGAAGAGCUCCCAUCAAUGCCUGAGCUGCGGUGAACAUGCAGGGGGGUGUUUUUUUGGAAAUGGUUCAUCUGUAAAUACUCUCCAAAGAGAAAUAUCCCAACAACUUCCUUGACUCUCUGGGGAGAAGUAGCAAUGGGACACAAAGUAAUUCCUGGGGCCGCGCGCGCGCGUGCGCGCGACUGCCUCCCGGGCGCACUGACCACAGGGAGCCUUUGACAGCCGGUCUCUGCAAGCGCCGGGGCCGUGGGCUGGCGGCGCGGUGCCUGCCGCCGCAGCGGCUGAGAUCAUGCUGUUGAUUUUGUUUUACAGAGAGCAGCCCAGCCUGUUGUGCACAGUACAGAAUGUUCUCUUCUGUGAACUGAGCUUGAACUUUUCCAACCCACUUUGUUUGAGGAAUCACACAGACACAGAGGGGAAAACACGGGGAAGAUAACCCUCAAAUCGUUGAAAUUGUGUUCUCGCGUUUUGGCCCAGAUCUUUUGAUUUUCACUGUUUAAAAUUAGAAAUCCCAGGCAUUACAGUUCUUGAAAGAGCAAAAUGCCUGUAAUGCCCUUUCUCUGUCAGGACUCUGGCUUUGAUUUAGGAUAUUAACUAGUCUGUCACCCUCUCUCUUUAUUUUUUUCUUUUCCUGUCACGCAUUCAAAGGAAAAAGACAACAAAAGCUAUUUUCCUGUAGAGAAAGGAAGACCCCCAGUGCCUGUGAGUUCUCUUUCAGUUGUUCAGGCUAUCAUGAUAUUACAAAUAGUGUUCCCGGAUUUGCUGAAAUUCCUGAAAAUUGGUAGUGAGGGCUUUGGGUGGUUGGCCUCCAUAUAAAUCAUCAGCUGGAGAAGCUGCCGAUGCUUGAUGUCAGUUGGGUUCCAGCAACUUGAUAUCACACCCACAAAUGUGUGGCUACCUGCAGUGUGAAGGAUGCUGGAACUACGAGGCUGUGGUUUCUGGAAGUCCACUCUCCCUCUAGUGGUUGGCAUCUUUCAGGAGAGACCAGAGUGUGUUCAGCUCGGCUCAGCCUGAGCACCCUUGGAGAAGAGCUUAACUUCAUUUCCAAAGGCCUCCUUUUCAUGUAGGAAUUUUCAGCUUUGGGAGGAAAUCUAGAUGAGAAAUACCGAGUCUGAGAGAGGUAACUUGCCUGUGAUCGCACAGCCAGUGAAUGGUGAAGCUGAGAUGCCAGCUCAGUCUGCUUGGUGAUUGGUUAGUGACAACAAGCCCUAUCUCCUCCGGUCUGCCUUUGUCUCUCCAUCACCCCCAUCUGUCUUCUGUGUGUCUCUUGGCAAGGUGUGGUCUUUUCUCAUGGUUUUCUUUAUUCCUUCUCUUAGUGAAGCCUCUAUGUGUUUAAAAGUUUCUUGAAUAUAAUAAAAUAUCUGACAUGCACUCAGAAAGUGGAGGCAGGAAAAUCAGCAAGAGAUAGAAAGAACAGAAACAGUGGAGGAAUAGGUUGAUGAAUGGGCUUUUGAGGCUGGGUUGGAGCAGGCUGUCUGGAGGGGUGGAAGCCAGGCCCUCAUCACCUUUACCAACGACAGCAGUGGGACUAACUCCCUGCCUGCAUCUUCACCCCUGACAGUCCAUCCACCCUUCACAUCUCCACAAGCCUUAUCUUUCCAAAACAGCACAGUCAUCAAUACUCUCCUGCUUCCUACUGACACUGUGGACUCCUCCUCUCCCUUCAAUGCCAACUCACCCUUCCUGCCCCACACAGAGACUACUCUUCAGACUUGCAACUGGCCCCGCCCUACCUUUCCCAUUCCUUACCCACCAUUUUCCCACAUGAAGCUCAACCUGGCAGGUUCUCUCUAUCCCUGGAUGCCAAGCUUAUGGAACAUGAACUAGGAGUUUCUGGCAAUUAUUACUGCCACCACUUACAGAGGGCCUGUCUAAAGAUGAAGCCACUGUGGAGGAAACCAGAGUGGAGGCAUUCUGCAUAACAUCUUUUAAUCACUUAGAUCCAACCACUGCUGUACCUGAAAGUCAGCAGAUUCUUUGUUUAGGUUGAUUUCUGUUGAGAAUCUGUAACUUGCAACUAAAAGGGGUCUAACUAUUGCAGUGCUUCCUUCAGGAUCUACCUCCGUGAUUAUCUGCAAGUGAAUAGCAGCUCAAAGAACAGCCCUCUGGCAUCUGGCCUGAAGCUGUUUCCUCCCCUAACUGGCCUAGACUGAUUCCCAUUCCAGCUCAAGUUGUGCUGAGGGUCAGAUUAAAGUGAAUCAAUUGACACAUAGAUCAAUGGAACAGAAUAGAAUGCCCUAAAAUAAACCUACACUUAUACGGUCAAUUAAUCUACGACAAAGGAGGCAAGAAUAUACAAUGGGGAAAAGUCAGUCUCUUCAAUAAAUGUUGUGGGGAAAACUGGACAGAUACAUGCAAAAGAAUGAAACUGUCCCAUUUGAUUAUACCAUAAGCAAAAAUAAACUCAAAAUGGAUUAAAGAAGGCCUAAAUGUAAGACUCCUAAAAAAACAUAGGCAGUAUACUCUUUAAACAUG